rnacentral:rRNA from 1 species
AAUAUUGCACAAUGGGGGAAACCCUGAUGCAGCAACGCCGCGUGAGCGAUGAAGGCCUUCGGGUCGUAAAGCUCUGUCCUAUGGGAAGAUAAUGACGGUACCUUAGGAGGAAGCCCCGGCCACCUACGUGCCAGCAGCCGCGGUAAUACGUAGGGGGCAAGCAUUAUCCGGAAGCAUUGGGCGUAAAGGGUGCGUAGGCUGCCCUAUAGGUCAGAGGUCAAAGGCUACGGCUCAACCGUAGUAAGCCUUUGAAACUGUAGGGCUUGAGUGCAGGAGAGGAGAGUGGAAUUCCUAGUGUAGCGGUGAAAUGCGUAGAUAUUAGGAAGAACACCAGUGGCGAAGGCGACUCUCUGGACUGCAACUGACGCUGAGGCACGAAAGCGUGGGUAGCGAACA